GGGGUUAAAUUAAUAGUGGUUGAGAUAAUAAAAAAAAUUUUAAUAUUAAAAAGAAAAAAAGGGGGGUUUGAGUAUUUUUAAUAGAAAAAAUUAAAAGUUUUAUAGUAAAAUAUUACUGUAAAGGAAAUUAUAAAUAUAUGAAAUUUAAUUAAUUAAAAAGUAAAUUUAAUUUAUUGUAUCUUGUGUAUCAAAGUUUAUUAAAUAGUAAUAAUUUAUUUAAAUAAAUCUCGAAUUUAAAAGAGUUAAUUAAUUAAUAAAGUUAAUGUUGUAUAAUUAUUUUAAAUAAUUAAUUAGAAAUGAAAUGUUAAUCGUUUUUAAAUAUAUCUAGUUUUUUUAAAAAAAAAUUUAAUUUUAAAUUUAAAUAAUUUUAUAAUUUUUUAAUUAAUUAUAAAAAUUUAAAAUUUAAUAUUUUAAGGGAUAAGCUUUAAUUUAAAUAUAUUAUAAUUGAAUUAAUUUAACAAUUAAAAUUUUUAAAAUUUAUAUUGUUUAAAAAUUAUAAUUUAUUAUAAAAAAUUUUAUUUAAAAAUAAAAUUUAAUUAAAAUUUAAAUUUUUAUAAAAAAAUAAUUUAUAAUAAAAAAAAAUUAAAAAUAAUGAUAAAAUUAGUAUAUUAAAUUUAAUAAUAAUAAAUUUAAUUAUAAUUAAAUUAAAGGAAUUCGGCAAAAAUUUAUAUUCACUUGUUUAUCAAAAACAUGUCUUUUUGAAAAUAAUUUAAAGUCUAAUCUGCCCACUGAUAAAAUUAUUAAAGGGCUGCAGUAUAUUGACUGUACAAAGGUAGCAUAAUCAUUAGUCUUUUAAUUGAAGACUUGUAUGAAAGAUUUGAUGAAAUAUAUACUGUCUCUAAUUUAUGAAUAAAAAUUAAUUUUUUAGUUAAAAAGCUAAAAUAAUAUUAAAAGACGAGAAGACCCUAUAAAGUUUUAUAAUUUAUUUAUUUAAUAUUAAUUAUAUAAUUAAAUAUAAUAAUUAAUUUAAAUUAUUUUAUUGGGGUGAUAAAAAAAUUUAAUUAACUUUUUUUUAAAAAUAUACAUAAAUAAGUGUGAUAUUGAUCCAUUAUUAAUGAUUAAAAGAAAAAAUUACUUUAGGGAUAACAGCGUAAUAUUUUUUUUUAGUACGAAUAAAAAAAAAAGUUUGCGACCUCGAUGUUGGAUUAAGAUAAAAUUUAAAUGCAAAAGUUUAAAAUUUUGAUCUGUUCGAUCAUUAAAAUCUUACAUGAUCUGAGUUCAGACCGGUGUGAGCCAGGUUGGUUUCUAUCUUUAAUAAAAAUAAAUAUUUUAGUACGAAAGGAUCAAUUAUUUGAAAUAAUUUUAUUUAUAAGAAUAUUAUUAAUAUGUAUAUAUAUAUAUAUAUAUAUAUAAGUAUAUAGUUUAA
rnacentral:rRNA from 1 species